CAGUCGCUGCGUGUUUGUAGACAGGAGAUGAGCUGACGUGGACUUUUCUUUUAAAUUCCUGAUGGAUUAUCAGUUUUUUUUCCUAGAAUAAUGAAAACUGAAUUAUUUUUUAUUGUAAAUUAAUUUUACAAGCCGAUCUAAUUCGAUCUCUUGCUGAAGUAAAGUAUCAGUUAGGAUUUAACAUCAGUGUUACAUUCAGGUGCAGAACACUGUAAAGGAAAAUGUUGGAAGCUUCAGAAACUGUGCAGUGAAGAGAUAAGGAGCAGAGAUGCAGAGGGCCGUGAUGGCGUGCAGCGACUGUCUCCGUCUGCCAGGAAACCACAGCUCCCCUGCUGGACAGAGGAGCUUUCUGGGUUUCACAUCUUUCUCCAUGGGAGAUCUGCUGAGAUCCAAGGAGCCUCACGUCCCCGUCAGCCUCAGGUAAAC